UGGGGAAUAUUGCACAAUGGGCGCAAGCCUGAUGCAGCCAUGCCGCGUGUAUGAAGAAGGCCUUCGGGUUGUAAAGUACUUUCAGUCGGGAGGAAGGUGGUAAGGUUAAUAACCUUAUCAAUUGACGUUACCGACAGAAGAAGCACCGGCUAACUCCGUGCCAGCAGCCGCGGUAAUACGGAGGGUGCAAGCGUUAAUCGGAAUUACUGGGCGUAAAGCGCACGCAGGCGGUUGAUUGAGUCAGAUGUGAAAUCCCCGGGCUUAACCCGGGAAUUGCAUCUGAUACUGGUCAGCUAGAGUCUUGUAGAGGGGGGUAGAAUUCCAUGUGUAGCGGUGAAAUGCGUAGGGAUGUGGAGGAAUACCGGUGGCGAAGGCGGCCCCCUGGACAAAGACUGACGCUCAGGUGCGAAAGCGUGGGGAGCAAACAGG
rnacentral:rRNA from 1 species